GUUGAAUCUCCACUCUCAACGACCACAUAAGCUGCUCAGACAUGAACACCUUCUGUUUCAGAAACCUUCACGACGGAUCACGACCUUGAAUCACCUCUGCUUGACCAAUUACUCCAACCUCAUGGUCUGAUGUGAUUUUCUACCAAGUCCUCUUUGGAACUUUCAUAAGCUGCUCCACCUGGAACUAAUCACCCUUAUCACAGCUCCACAACCCUUUUUCAGAUCAUGUCACAAACACUAGGACUGCUUCUUUAAUGAGCAUUGCCGCCUUCACCUGUUAAGACAUCCCCGCAGCUCCUCUGUUGAACAUCCCAUGUUCUUCUUUCUCCUUGAUGACUUCAGAACCUCCACCUGGAAUCAGUCUCCAACUCUCGACAACUGAUUCUCCACAGGU